UACGAAGGGGGCUAGCGUUGUUCGGAGUUACUGGGCGUAAAGGGUGUGUAGGCGGUUGUUUAAGUUUGGUGUGAAAUCUCCCGGCUCAACUGGGAGGGUGCGCCGAAUACUGAGCGACUAGAGUGCGGGAGAGGAAAGUGGAAUUCCUGGUGUAGCGGUGAAAUGCGUAGAUAUCAGGAGGAACACCGGUGGUGUAGACGGCUUCUGGACCGUAACUGACGCUGAGACACGAAAGCGUGGGUAGCAAACAGG
rnacentral:rRNA from 1 species